rnacentral:lncRNA from 1 species
AGAACUGCAGAUAGUACGGUGGAGCAGGGAUGCCUGAGCACAAGUAGCGAGUUCCGAGUGACUUUAGGAAAUGCUUCCCCCCCUUCCUGGGCAUGCAAACAAGACUCUGCACCUGCACCGCAGUUUGUUCCGGAGAGAAGCCUCGGCUUCGCCCUGCAGGGACGAGGAACUAGAGCAAGAAGCAGCAUUUGAAAAUUUAUCUCUUCAUCUUUUGAAGACUAUUCCAUAAAUGGAGGUCUCAUUUCCUCAACAGAAGCCCUUGAUACAGUGAAUGCCAAGUGAAUGUUUAUUGAAAUAUUGAAUUAAUGGGUAAGGACUUAGGGGAAAAACAACCAUGAAGACAUCAAAGAGGCAAUCCUAUGACUGAAAUAUCUCUAGAAAUAUUGAAAGUACCAAGUUCUUUCUGUCUGAAUGAUAGCAUUCAAAGAGCCUUAUUUAUUUCAACAGUCUGAAUAAAACUACCCUUUGUAAUUGAAAUUCAGAUUGGAGUUGUUUGAUUUAUAUUAUAUAAAUUCAUUUUCCUAAUUUUCCAUGACUUUGUAAGUCUGUGUUCAGCAAAUGGCCAGUAUUGAAGAUAAUGGCAUCAAUCAUUAUAGAGUACAAUGGUGAGCUCAUCAAAUAAGCCAUGGCACAGGCAUUUUAAAAUAGAAGUACCAUUAUAUAACCAGGAGAAGAGAUGACUGGAAAGUUCAAGAAAUAAAUAUAAGCCAAAGA